AACGCACGAGACCUGCGGACCUGCGGAGGGAUCAUUACCGAGUGUUACAGCUCCCAAACCCACUGUGAACGUACCCAUCGUUGCUUCGGCGGGACCGCCCCGGCGCCUCCGCGCGCCGGGCACGGGCGCCCGCCGGGGGCCCGAAACUCUUGCCUCCUCGCGUGGAUUCUCUGAGUGGCACGAAAAGGGAAAAUGAAUCAAAACUUUUAACAACGGAUCUCUAGAUCGGAAGAGCACACG
rnacentral:misc_RNA from 1 species